rnacentral:ncRNA from 1 species
UCCCUUCCGUGACGGAGGUGUCCGUCUCGGACUCAGGCGGCUGCUCUCAUAGCAAGCCGGAUAGGGCGUGAUGGUGCGGUCCGUGGAGAACACGGCCGCCGGUAUCGCGGUCUCCCGCUACCCCGAUGGCGAGCGAGUCCGCCGCCCGAAGGCGCCGCGUGCGCAUGAAAAAAGGCCCUCGUCCGGCGAUGAGGGCCUUUUAUU